rnacentral:rRNA from 1 species
GAUGAACGCUGGCGGCAUGCCUAAUACAUGCAAGUCGAGCGAACAGACGAGGAGCUUGCUCCUCUGACGUUAGCGGCGGACGGGUGAGUAACACGUGGAUAACCUACCUAUAAGACUGGGAUAACUUCGGGAAACCGGAGCUAAUACCGGAUAAUAUAUUGAACCGCAUGGUUCAAUAGUGAAAGACGGUUUUGCUGUCACUUAUAGAUGGAUCCGCGCCGCAUUAGCUAGUUGGUAAGGUAACGGCUUACCAAGGCAACGAUGCGUAGCCGACCUGAGAGGGUGAUCGGCCACACUGGAACUGAGACACGGUCCAGACUCCUACGGGAGGCAGCAGUAGGGAAUCUUCCGCAAUGGGCGAAAGCCUGACGGAGCAACGCCGCGUGAGUGAUGAAGGUCUUCGGAUCGUAAAACUCUGUUAUUAGGGAAGAACAAAUGUGUAAGUAACUAUGCACGUCUUGACGGUACCUAAUCAGAGAGCCACGGCUAACUACGUG